rnacentral:rRNA from 1 species
AUUGAACGCUAGCGGGAUGCCUUACACAUGCAAGUCGAACGGAGUGGCGAACGGGUGAGUAAUGCAUCGGAACGUGCCCAGUAGCGGGGGAUAACUACGCGAAAGCGUAGCUAAUACCGCAUACUAUUGGAGCGGCCGAGUUCGGAUUAGCUAGUUUGUGGGGUAACGGCGAACCAAGGCGACGAUCCGUAGCUGGUCUGAGAGGACGACCAGCCACACUGGAACUGAGACACGGCCCAGACUCCUACGGUAGGCAGCAGUGGGGAUUAUGGGACUAUGGGGGAAACCCUGAUCCAGCCAUCCCGCGUGUGGGAUGAAGGCCUUCGGUUUGUAAAGCACUUUUAGCUGGGAAGCGUUACCAGCAGAAUAAGCACCGGCUAACUACGUGCCAGCAGCCGCGGUAAUAC